AGAAGCCGCGCGGCAACGCGGGCCCGACCCGCCGCGGGCCGCGCUUCGUAAGGCCGCGUGGUGGGGUGCAAGGGGACAGACGACGUUCUUUUGAGUCUUUGGGCCGGUGUUUAGGUUAACGAAGGACUGUCUUUGCCUCCACGGAAAGGACGGAGUCUGGGAUGUCCUUGGGGCCUCUUAAGAUGGAAACUAAUCCGAGGCCGACUAAGUUCUGGGCCCGUUAGGUGGAGGGGAUUGCGUGAGGGCUUUGUGUUUGGCCUAAAUGAAGCGCUUUUCUCUGAUGCUGAAAGGGCUUCCCAGGCAAAAAUCUGUAUCAGUAUUCUAUUAGGACAGACCACAAAGUCGCUAAGAUGAUUUUGUGGACAUCGCAUUUCCAAGGGAUUGUGAAGGAGAAAUUGGCGGGCAACCAUUUACGGCGCCGUUAUUUCCUUUGUUUUGAGGCGUUCUAAUACUUAGAACCACAGCGUGUGUUGGCUACAGUUUUCUUUCCCUUAAGUUUCCACCUCUUAAAGGUGUUCAGUGAGGGUUGAUUGAAUUGCGGGAACUAGACAGUUCUAGGGUUUAAACAGCAUACGUAGCUGGUCUGUGGGGCUCUGGGUAUUAGAUUCGGAAAGCAUUGAACGAUGCGAACAUACGAGGCUUGCUAGAAUUAAGAGGAAUCUGUUAGAAGGGUAAUAGAAAAGCACCAUAGAAAUUGAUUUUUGAGGCUGUUAUGGGAAUAAUUUGUGUUUUGUUUUUUUUUUUUAAGAAUUUGUUACCUAAGUUUCUCCUUGUUGGUAAAGCUACCUUAAGAUCUGAAUAUGAUUUAUCAGGUAAAUAAGACUAUUAAAUGUGUUAGCAAACUUUCGAUUAAGAUUUUAGAUGAUUCGUUAGAGUAUUUUAGGAAGAAACUUUCAGUGAUGAAGCGUGAGUUUCCUGCGUAAUUUUGGAGCCCAAACUGCUUAAUUUGGUUUGAACUAAUCAAGCCUUGCGUUUACAUAUUCGGAUGAGCAUAGAGUUUUUAGUUUUUGAUUUUUCCCGAAGCUGAUUGACUCCAAUGUCACGAGUGUUUUAGAUUUUUUUCUUUUUUUAAGUUCUUGCUUUCUUGGGUAAGAAAGUUGGGAUUGAGCUCAAAAGUUGUUAAAAAGUCGUGACUUCUGAUCAUUGGCAGUUGAAUCUGUUAAAACUAGUCAUUGGUGUUUGGACUGCAAAGCGAUUUUAAAGUCUUUUGUUACUAAACAGAAAAAUUCAAUUAUUGGGUACCUUUGUACUCUUCAAAAAUACUAAAUGACUGGCUUCUGACUAGAGGAGCUCUCGGUUGAAUACACGUGAAGAAUGCUUGAGAAUGGAAAAUUGCCCAAAGAGUUCAUUAGUAUAUUUUACGUGAGAAGGGAAAUAAUUGAAAUUAGGUUCCAGUUUGAGACUCGGCUCAAGAGAAAUUUGAAAUUUUCUGAUUGGUUGUUAUCUUUUUACUAGUAAAAGUACACUGUGUUUUUCGCAAUCUUUGACUUGUAGAGGGAGGUUAACUUAAUAUGUUAAAAAUUGAGAUUUUUUUUUUUCUUACAUAAGAGUCUUCGCUUUCUGGCGGAGAUCUCUAAACUUUUAUGUUGUGAAAUACUUCCAUAUUGUUGUGUUUGGUGUUUGCGUGUUUGUGUUCCAAUUGGAACCUUUAAGGGUUGGAAUACACCUGAAUCAAACACGUGUCUAGGCUUCCAAAGCAAGCUUGGGAAACCAUAAAGCUCAAUGGAACAGUUUGAUCUUAGACAUGCCUGUGGUGUAAAUGAUGCUUCUCUGGAGCCAGAAAAAUGAGUGUUACUCGACUCGAGGCUUCUGGACUGGGUCUUAAUGUAAAUCAUUAAUCUCUUCAAAUCAGUGGAAUUCUCCCUUAUUUAUCUGUCUCUAAUCCAGACAAACCCACCCCUCUGUGCCCCACCUUUUCCAGUGACUGUAGGAGUUUGUUGUUGUGUCCCUCCCCUUUAAGGUUGGGUGUAGGGGAUAAAUUAUUCUCACUUUGAUCACUCAAUAGAAUACAUUUGGGUGAAUAUAAUGACAUUUAAAGAAGUGACGUGUCCCUUAUCCUUCGUUGUUCUGUGGGAUUUAUUUUUCCCCCAUCUCAAAGGUAAUAAUAGAUUAACACUAAAAUCUGUCUAUAGGGGUCUGAUUAGCAGACUUAACCUGAUCUGGCCAAACCACUUUCAAAAGUAAGAUCUCAUUUUCAUCUCCAGAUUCAAGCCUCUUCCCCCCAAAUUGCUUGCAUUUUGUAAAGGGGUUGACUAGCACCAUUUCUUUGCAAAAAGAGGCACUCCUGGCCUUUAAGUCACAAUUACAAGAACUUGAAUAAAAAGCUGAUAAGUUUAGAAGUGCAGGGUAAUCUUCAGAGCCCAAUAAUGGUCACAGCGUAUAGGGUGUGUGAGAUUUGUAUGUUGGUCUUGCACGCGGUGUAAUGUUCUGACCCUCUCAACAUUGUAAUGAGUUUCUACAAGUCAGUCUUUACUAAAGGAAUCCAGAAACUAAGGAGACACUGAUGUAUGGACCAGAUGUUAAAGAAAAUGUUUUGACACAGCAGAUACUCUGAUAGAAUACUGGCUAUUAUUUUUGUAGAACCGAUGUGUUUGCAACAUAGGCAUGUAAUCUUUAUCAUUAGAGAUUUUAUCAUUAGAGAUGAAUAGCAGCAUCUGGACACCAACCCAUCAAACUGCCUUUCAAAUUCUGCAGUUUUUCUCAUCUUCUGCUUAAUCUUGGGAUGUCUUUAUAUUCCUUGGUUUUAGCUCCUAAACUCUAAAUUCUGAUUUUCAAAACUGAAACAUCUCUGAAUCUACUUCUUUCUAGUUGUAGCCAUCUCACCAAAUUCCUUUAAAAAAGGAUUGAAUUGUCAAAUAGGAGGAAAUUGUUUUGUAUUGUGAGUCUGGUUAGGUUUAUCAGUCUCUUGAAACCAGGUUGAAAUAUUUUUUUUUCUUGGUUUUAAACAAGAAUGCUUUAAUAUUGUGGAUAUUAUCUGGAACGUGACAUUUUCAAGCUGACAUUACAAGUGAUUUUAUAAGGUUAAUGUUGAAGAAGGAAAAUGCGGAAGUCGUCAUUUGACAAGUUUUAUAAAUGAGUAUUUGAAGCUCAGGAAUAAGUGAAGCUGAAAUUUGAAAAAAUAAAAGAAAGAAUGCAUGCUAAUUAUCAGACCAGAAGUCCCACUUGUAGAAUAUUGAGCAAUUUGUGUGAAGUGGGGAAGAUGAAAGAAGUCAGAAUUUGAAACGGAAGAAUGAAGAAAAGAAAUAAAAAUGAAGUUAAGAUAAGAAGUAAUCUGGAAUCAGAAAGCACUACGCUAAGAAUCCCGUUCUGCUUCCAGAAGUGGAAGUGCUCACGGAUCGGGGAAAUCUGCAAGGCAUACCCCUGCAAGGUCUCGCUCCAAGGAAGAUUCCAGGCGUUCCAGAUCAAAGUCCAGGUCCCGAUCUGAAUCUAGGUCUAGAUCCAGAAGAAGCUCCCGAAGGCAUUAUACCCGGUCACGGUCUCGCUCCCGCUCCCAUAGACGAUCACGUAGCAGGUCUUACAGUCGAGAUUAUCGUAGACGGCACAGCCACAGCCAUUCUCCCAUGUCUACUCGCAGGCGUCAUGUUGGGAAUCGGGCAAAUCCUGAUCCUAACUGUUGUCUUGGAGUAUUUGGGCUGAGCUUGUACACCACAGAAAGAGAUCUAAGGGAAGUGUUCUCUAAAUAUGGUCCCAUUGCCGAUGUGUCUAUUGUAUAUGACCAGCAGUCUAGGCGUUCAAGAGGAUUUGCCUUUGUAUAUUUUGAAAAUGUCGAUGAUGCCAAGGAAGCUAAAGAACGUGCCAAUGGAAUGGAGCUUGAUGGGCGUAGGAUCAGAGUUGAUUUCUCUAUAACAAAAAGACCACAUACGCCAACACCAGGAAUUUACAUGGGGAGACCUACUUAUGGCAGUUCUCGCCGUCGGGAUUACUAUGACAGAGGAUAUGAUCGGGGCUAUGAUGAUCGGGACUACUAUAGCAGAUCAUACAGAGGAGGAGGUGGAGGAGGAGGAGGAUGGAGAGCUGCUCAAGACAGGGAUCAGAUUUAUAGAAGGCGGUCACCUUCUCCUUACUAUAGUCGUGGAGGAUACAGAUCACGUUCCAGAUCUCGAUCAUACUCACCUCGUCGCUAUUAAAGCAUGAAGACUUUCUGAAACCUGCCCUAGAGCUGGGAUAUUGUUUGUGGACAAUAUUUUUUAUUGUCUCUUGUUUAAAAAGUGAACAGUGCCUAGUGAAGUUAGGUGACUUUUACACCUUUUAUGAUGACUACUUUUGGUGGAGUUGAAAUGCUGUUUUCAUUCUGCAUUUGUGUAGUUUGGUGCUUUGUUCAAAGUUAAGUGUUUUCAGAAAAGUAUGUUUUGCAUGUAUUUUUUUACAGUCUAAAUUUUGACUGCUGAGAAGUUUCUAUUCUACAAAACUUCAUUUAAAAGGUUUUUCUACUGAAUCCAGGGUAUUCUGAAGAUCGAAGCCUGUGUAAAAUGCUACCAAAUGGCAAAAAGCAACAAUAAACAGUUUGAUUUUU
rnacentral:sRNA from 1 species